CUGGGUUCAGAACGUCGUGAGACAGUUCGGUCCCUAUCCGGCGUGGGCGUAGGAUAUUUGAGAGGAGCUGUCCUUAGUACGAGAGGACCGGGAUGGACUGACCUCUGGUGCAUCUGUUGUUUUACCAAAGGCACGGCAGAGUAGCCAAGUCGGGACGGGAUAAACGCUGAAGGCAUCUAAGCGUGAAGCCCCCCUCAAGAUGAGAUAUCCCAUACGCAAGUAGUAAGACCCCUUGAAGACGACAAGGUUGAUAGGUCAGAGGUGGAAGUGCAGUAAUGUAUGCAGCUGACUGAUACUAAUAGGUCGAGGGCUUGACCA
rnacentral:rRNA from 1 species